rnacentral:rRNA from 1 species
GUGGGGAAUAUUGGACAAUGGGCGAAAGCCUGAUCCAGCCAUGCCGCGUGUGUGAAGAAGGUCUUCGGAUUGUAAAGCACUUUAAGUUGGGAGGAAGGGCAGUAAGUUAAUACCUUGCUGUUUUGACGUUACCGACAGAAUAAGCACCGGCUAACUCUGUGCCAGCAGCCGCGGUAAUACAGAGGGUGCAAGCGUUAAUCGGAAUUACUGGGCGUAAAGCGCGCGUAGGUGGUUUUGUAAGUUGGAGGUGAAAUCCCCGGGCUCAACCUGGGAACUGCCUCCAAAACUGCAUGACUAGAGUACGGUAGAGGGUAGUGGAAUUUCCUGUGUAGCGGUGAAAUGCGUAGAUAUAGGAAGGAACACCAGUGGCGAAGGCGACUACCUGGACUGAUACUGACACUGAGGUGCGAAAGCGUGGGGAGCAAACAGGAUUAGAAACCCCUGUAGUCC